rnacentral:rRNA from 1 species
CAGCCGCCGCGGUAAUACGUAGGGUGCGAGCGUUAAUCGGAAUUACUGGGCGUAAAGCGUGCGCAGGCGGUUCGUUAAGACAGAUGUGAAAUCCCCGGGCUUAACCUGGGAACUGCAUUUGUGACUGGCGAGCUAGAGUACGGCAGAGGGGGGUAGAAUUCCACGUGUAGCAGUGAAAUGCGUAGAGAUGUGGAGGAAUACCGAUGGCGAAGGCAGCCCCCUGGGCCAAUACUGACGCUCAUGCACGAAAGCGUGGGGAGCAAACAGGAUUAGAUACCCGGUAGUCCCUGUCUCUUAUACA